AAAGCGGGGGAUCGCAAGACCUCGCGCUUUUUGAGGAGCCCGCGGCCUAUCAGCUUGUUGGUGAGGUAAAAGCUCACCAAGGCAACGACGGGUAGCUGGUCUGAGAGGACGACCAGCCUCACUGGAACUGGGACACGGUCCAGACACCUACGGGUGGCAGCAGUCGAGAAUCUUUCACAAUGGGGGCAACCCUGAUGAAGCGACGCCGCGUGGAGGAUGAAGGUCUUCGGAUCGUAAACUCCUGUCACCACAGAACAAGGGUGUUAAAGCGAAUAAUUUUGACACUUGAUGGUAUGUGGAGAGGAAGGGACGGCUAACUCUGUGCCAGCAGCCGCGGUGAUACAGAGGUCCCUAGCGUUGUUCGGAUUCACUGGGCGUAAAGGGUGCGUAGGGGGCUGAGAAAGUCGGAUGUGAAAUCUUAUUGCUUAACGAUAAAACUGCAUUCGAAACUCCUCGGCUUGAGGAUCGGAGAGGAAAGCGGAAUUCUUGGUGUAGCGGUGAAAUGCGUAGAUAUCAAGAGGAACGCCAAUGGCGAAAGCAGCUUUCUGGAAGACUCCUGACCCUGAGGCACGAAGGCUAGGGUAGCAAACCAGGAUUAGAGACCCUGGUAGUCCUAGCAGUAAACGGUGCUCAUUAGGUGUGGGCGGAUUCGACCCCGNCCAGCGCCGAACCUAACGGAUUUAAUGAGCCGNCUGGGAAGUACGAUCNGCAGAUUAAACUCAAAGAAAUUGACGGGGGCCCGNACAAGCGGUGGAGUAUGUGGAUUANUUCGAUGCAACGCGAAAGAACCUUGCCGUGCCUUGACAUGCAGAGUUCUACCGGUGAAAGCCGUUGUCCCGCAAGGGCGAUCUGCACAGGUGCUGCAUGGCUGUCGUCAGCUCGUGUCGUGAGAUGUUGGCUUAAGUCCCGCAUACGAGCGCAACCCCUAUGGUUAGUUCCCCUCACUUUUCUGGG
rnacentral:rRNA from 1 species